UACAGAGGUCUCAAGCGUUGUUCGGAUUCAUUGGGCGUAAAGCGCGUGUAGGCGGUCCGGUAAGUCCGCUGUGAAAGUCGGGGGCUCAACCCUCGGAUGCCGGUGGAUACUGCCGUGCUUGAGGACUGGAGAGGAGACUGGAAUUUACGGUGUAGCGGUGAAAUGCGUAGAUAUCGUAAGGAAGACCAGUGGCGAAGGCGGGUCUCUGGACAGUUACUGACACUCAACUACGAAAGCGUGGGGAGCAAACAGG
rnacentral:rRNA from 1 species